AUCUUGCUGCUGUGUUAGGCCUUCUUGGCUAUGCCUUGGUCAUGACCCUUGGCUCCCAGCUCCCUUUCUACCUGGUUUUUCUGUCUUUGACCAUCCUUCCACUGGCUUUCUGCUCUGUUCUUCCUCCUCUGCCUUCCCCCCACCUCCAAAUAUUGAUUCUUCCCCCACCUUCCUUUUCUUUCUCUUCCACUUGCUGUCCCUGGAGACAGUGCAGCAUGGUGCCAAGGCAUGAAUCUUUAAGUUCAGACAGACUUGAAUUGUGUAUUCUGGUUCUGCUCCUUGUGAGUGGUCAAACCUUAGAAAAUCAGUUAACCUUUCCCGACUUCAGGUCUCUCUUCUAUAAAACCAAAACAAAUGAUAACAAUAGUAACAAUGAUAAUAAUAAUCACUCUUUCCUAGAGUUGUUUUCCUAGCAUCAAAAAGGGCCCAGCCCAGUGCUGAUACGCCGAAAGCUCUCUACAUGGAAGCUGUUACUAUUUUAUUAUCAUCUGUAUCAUCACAACUCUUCUUUUCAUCUUCUCCCCUGACCUCAGCUCAUGCACUUGACUCAACACCAGUCACCUCUACAUGCCCAGCUCUGACCUCUCCCCUGAGCAACAGCUCACACUGAAAACCAUCUACUAUACCUUCUCUGGGAUGUCCACAGACAUCUCAAAUUCUAAGUCCUGGUAUAGGCUGUCUCUCUCUGUCCCCCACAAAUUCAUAUGUUGAAGCCCUACCUCAGAAUAUGGCUAUAUUUGAAGAUAGGGCCUUGAAGGAGGUGACUAAGUUAAAUGAGGCAUUGGAGGUGAGCCCUCAUCCAAUCCAACCAGUGUCUUUAUAAGGUGAGGGGAGUUGGAUACACACAUGCCAUGGAUGCCUGCACAGAAAAGAGGCCAUGUGAGGACAUAGGAGCAGGAAGCCACUGGCCAGCCAUGGGGGAAGGUCUCAGGAGAAACUCAACCUGUGUAACACCUUGAUCUUGGACUUCUAGUCUCCAGAACCACUGGAAAAUGCAUUUCUGUUGCUUAAGCCACCCAGUCUGUGGAAUUUUGCAACCUCAAAGACUAAUACACAUCCCAGGCUCUAAUCACCAUAUCUUUCCUAAAACAAGCCCCUCCUCCUGUAUCCCCUUCUUGCUAAGCAAUGGUUCUUCCUUCUGCCUCAUCAUUCACACCUGAUCUGUCUCCAUGGCCUGGCGGUCUUAAUUUCUGAAGAGCUCACAACCUAGGCGUCACCUCUCUUAGCUCAAGCCCACGUGAUCUUUCGUCUGGCCCAUUGCAAUAGCCUCCCACUUAAUUGGUCUCUGUCCCCACAGCAUGCCUCCAUUUGCAUCUGUCCAAUAUACCAUAAGUGAAUCAUUCCGAAGCGCAGAUUUGUUCACCUCUGGACUCAGCAAAAAGUGUUCCAUUAACUUCCCAGUGCCUGGUAAAAGCUCCUCAGCCCAACACCUCAAACCAUCAAAAAUUUGGCUCCAGUUGACCAAUCACUCUUGUGUCUUGCCUUCUCCUCUCUUAGACCUUUACUCUAGUCAAACUGGAAAACACAUUGCUCCUGGAAAAAGGUUCCACCCUUUCUGAGCACUCCCUAAACUAAAAUGCUUCCCUCUUCCUCCAUCUAAUGUCUUUUUCAUUCUAUAAACUUCAGUUCACAUUCCACACUACCAAGCCUUUCUUGCCUUAUUCUCUGCAGAAGGCAUCUUUGCACUGGGCUCAGCUCCUGGCUCAUGAUAAUGGCCUGGGUCAUGUGUGCACGCUCUCCUCUCUCCUGCUCAACUGUGAACCCACCAAGGGCCACACAACAGGCGCCGGUCACCUUUUAUCCCCCUGGUGUCCAGCAUGGCACCUGGCUUGAAUCUCUUCCACAGUGUAGAUUGAUGAGCAAAUGAAGAAUGUCAGUAGCAAGGUCAUGAAGACAGGCCCUGAUGCCCUAGAAAAACCAUUCUCACUAAAGAGUUGCUAUUCCUGACUUCCCACUAGUAAACUGGGUCCUUGGUUUAAAUGGCCAAAGUGAACCACUAGUCUGUAAUCUAUUCUGGAAUUUAAGCAGUAGAGAAGAGGCAAAUGAAUUUUUUAAAAGAAAAUGGCACUAGGAUGCAGAGGAUCCAGCCGUGAUGUCAUUAGUACUCAGCCAUCACAUCUUGGCCUUAUUGUUUCUCUGUGAACAAUGUCCAUCUUUACAAACAUCUCCUAGAGAGCUGUGCUCACAGUCACCCCAAAGUGUUCAACUCUGUAAGAAGCACCUCCACGUGGUGCCAUCACAUCUGACCUUUUUAGUUCCCAGAUGACCCCCUCGCCCUGGCUUUUUUCCCUUCACUGCGACAUCCAGCAUAGACACAAGUGCCAUGGAGCUGGGUCAAUGGUGUGCCCUGUGUAAUCUGUCUGGAUAGGUCACUCUGGCAGCCGCUGCUCAGACUCAAAGCAUCUCAGCACCCUGAUGCCAAAAGGCAUGCUGAAAUGGGGCCAAUGCAUCAGGUUGUCUUUCUACUCAUAAGCAGCAGAAGAGCUAGGAUGACUUUGGUCUGUAAUACUUUCUACCUAGGUAUCAGUUUUCCUCACAUUAAAAAUAAAUAAAUAAAGUUUGUUGUAUGGUAAAUAAGACAAUGCUAAGGAUUCUAUUUUCAUGUCAUAAAAGAUGAGAGUCAGGACCCCUGAAGUUAAAACACCUUUUCUUUCAUCAUCCAAAUGUAAAUAUGACCCUGGUUCUUAAAUGAGCAGCCAUGCUCUUCUCAAUCCAUUUUCUUCACGGGCAUUUUCUGGGGGUUGCUGGGACUCAGGUUCUUAUCUUCGUGGAAUGUUCCAAUCUAGUUCUGUCCUGGCUUUAGUCACAGUUCUGAGAGCCACCCUCAAAAAAACAGAGUGAUGACAUGCAUCUAGCUGAAGGCAGAAUAUAUUCUAGGAAAGUAGAACUUUUAAAAGUAGAUUCAUGUCUUAUCACACCAUAUGGCCAUAGGAGUGAUCAGAUGCAUCUAUCUGUACUACUGAUAGAAAAAUAAAGCAGAUUACAUAUACUUAUCAUUGGGAGGAAUUACAUCAUUAAAGAACUUAGAAAUUAUCUCUUAUUUGGGUUAGAAGGAACAAGGGGGAAAAUUAGAUGCAUCCCCAUAUGGAAAACCUUAAUUCUAAUUUGCAUUUUAAUGGAAAUGACGCUUCAAAUGCCUCCUCUUCGGUAAGCCUUUUCUGGGUCUUUCUAGCUUGAGCAAACCAGAUUUCAGCUGGAAUCUGACUUUCCAGAAAGUUCACACCACCUAAGAGCAUCUCAGGUGAAAAUAUCACAUAGUGAUAUGUUAAGUCACAUGCUUAGGAAAUCCUUAAACACUGACACUAAGAGUACAUGAUUCUUUUUUGGAAAGAAAUAUUCUUCCCAGAUUUUAAAGAUAAUUCCUAUUCUUUGGAAGAAAAAUAUAAAAAAUAGUUGUCUGCAAUCCCAAAACCCCAAAAUUACCACUGUGUAUUAUUUUAUAUCCUUCUUUUCUCUAUAUGCAUACAUGAUUAUAAUUUUUACUAUUGUUUUUGUUUUUGCAAAAAUGGAAUAUCAGACAUUCUGUGGUCUGCAUAUGUUCCCUUAAAACUUAUGGUGAAUAUCUUUACCUGUUCAUAUAUGUAGAUCAACGUUAAGAUUCUUAUGGGCUGCAAUAUUACCCUA
rnacentral:lncRNA from 1 species